rnacentral:rRNA from 1 species
GACGAACGCUGGCGGCGUGCUUAACACAUGCAAGUCGAACGGAAAGGCCCUGCUUUUGUGGGGUGCUCGAGUGGCGAACGGGUGAGUAACACGUGAGUAACCUGCCCUUGACUUUGGGAUAACUUCAGGAAACUUGGGCUAAUACCGGAUAGGAGCUCCUGCUGCAUGGUGGGGGUUGGAAAGUUUCGGCGGUUGGGGAUGGACUCGCGGCUUAUCAGCUUGUUGGUGGGGUAGUGGCUUACCAAGGCUUUGACGGGUAGCCGGCCUGAGAGGGUGACCGGGGACAAGAGGACUAAGAGAGGGAGCAGAGGCGAAUGUGAGACAGCAGGGGAGAGUAUGACACAGUGAGGGGGAGCGUGAGGAGGAAACGUUGGGAGCGGGAUGAAGGCUUUGGGGGGGGAAACCGCUGUAAGCUGAGACGAAGCGGGAGUGACGGUAAUAAGUGAAGAAGCACCGGCUAACUACGUG